AUGGCGUCCCUCACCACCACCACCGCCUCCUCGCCGGCCGCCCUGCCCGCGGCGGCCUCCGCCGCCCCGGCCACGGCCUCGUCCGUCUCGCCCACCGCGGCCGCCUCCAAGCGCCCGCACCUCGCCGGCGACGACGCGCCCUGGCGCGUCGCGGCCGCCGGCUCCGCCGGAAUCCGCCCCGUCCCGCGCAUCCACCACGCCCCCGUCCUCCGCGUCGCCCAGGACGACUCCUCCGCCUACGCCCUCGCCAUCAUGAGGAAUCCGGAUCCGAUAGGGAUGGGGCUGGCCAUGGAGGCCGUAGCUGAGGCUGCUGGCCCGGAGUGCCUCGUGCCCGGCCAGCAGGCGCCUCUGCGGCUGAUGGGACUCAAGGUUUGGCCCCUAGAUAUAGAGAUGAAGUUCUUGGAACCAUUUGGCCGGGAAUUACACUCCAUGAAGAAGUUCAUGGACAAAUCAUGCAGCGUCAUGGACUCAUCUUCUAUAGCACAUAAGUAG
rnacentral:rRNA from 1 species